rfam:Lachnospiraceae bacterium CAG:364 genomic scaffold, scf335
GGGCUUGUACUGGUUUCGACGGGGGUUUUGAAGUUGAGGAAGCCAUCUGCAGACUCCGGGACUGCAUACCAACCUGGAAAUUAAAUAUAAACGCAAACGAUAACGUAGCGUUAGCUGCCUAAUUGCAGCUUGUCAGCCUUAAACCACCCGCUGUUUAAGAACCUGGCAUCGACUUUGCGGGGCACUUCGCUUUCAAAGCUUUGAGAAAGUGGAAGAUUUUAUGAAGCUACUAAGUGCAAAAGCCUGUUAUUCGGCGUUUGUGUGAGGGAAUGUUAAAAGAAUAACUGUGAUGGGAGAUGCCGCAAGGGAUAGACUUUCGGACAGGGGUUCAAUUCCCCUCAGGUCCAUAG